AGCGUCUUGGUUCUGUUUGGUAUGGCUAGUUCGUACAAUGCAUUUGAAUAUGAUUCGGCAGUCGUGGAUCUGUUUUCCAUUUUUUGUUGUGGGACAUAAGCUGAGAUAAUGAAUAUUACCCUGUCUUUACACCAGAGUCUGAUUGCCAUGUGUCUGUCCUCACCUGCGUAAUAGACUUUGUAUCCCAAUCCUCAAAUCUGGAGAAUUAAAUCCAGGAGAAAGCAUAUACUGCAUAUACUCAUGUAAGGAAUUUAUGAGAAAAAGUUGACUUUAGAAAAGGGAUCAAUUUACACACGUGUAAUAUGGCGUGCAGUACUAUUGAAGUGUGACAGCUAUCAGAGCAUACAGCACUAAGUGAAGAACAUUUAAUACUUUGUUUUAGUAGCUGUCAGACAUUGACUCCUGUUAAUUGUAAGUUACAAGUGGAGCAGGGAUUGCUUCUGGUACUGUGUUUGAUACUGUUCUGUGAAUUUUUUAACUGCAUGCAAUUAGAAGAGUUAAUAAGGCAUGCCAGUCUUUAAAAAUUUAAAAUAUUCACUUAAUAACCCGUAGUUGCGUAUGGUGGCCAGUAAAAUUCAACAGAUUUUUUCACUGAGACUUGCCCCUCAACUUAUUCAUGAGAGUAUUAAUUACAUGAGUAUAUAUGGUAGAUCUACUAACUGAAUUAGUUCAAAGAAAAACAUGCAAAUCAGGUGAAUGAAGUAAGCUGUUUAUACAAAUUAAUUAUCUGUACACUACCAGGUUAUCUAUACCUGCCAGGAGCAGUAAUCUGAUAAACUGUCAGGACAUGCACGUAGGAAGAGAUGCCAGAAACUGAAUCAUUAUUGAGUGAGUUAUCUGAAAUCUAUCCUAAUGGAGGAAUAGGUCCUUUCUUACCACAGUAUUAAAAAUCCUAAACAUCUAGUGGAAUCAAACCAAGAGCUCAAUAACAAUGAACAGAUGUAUGAAUGUUUGUGAAAAGGUGCCAUUGCCUAUCCGUAUAGGGAGAAAACACCAGGAGUGGCGAAACAGGAAAACUGGAUUGUCACAGCUGUAUAACAAGGGGAAACCUUCAACAUGCUGAGCUACCAAAUUAAUAAUGACCUAAGUUCUGCAGAAGAGCAAAUAUUUAAAAAUAAGUCUCAAGUAUCAUGCCAUCAUUUAAUCACUGACUGUGAAGCUGUUGGAAGUAUGCAAAAAUUAAGACAGAGUAAUGAAUGUUCUCUGAAAACUAAAUGCAUUAAGUGAAAAAAAUACAUUAAAUUAGAUUGAUUUGCAUUAGUUAAAUCAUAAACUAGAGGUUGCUGCAUACAUAUCAUACAUAUCAGUGUAUGUUGUUGAAGCAGCAUCCAACUGAAAUAAUAAUGAAAGAACACAAAGCUAAUUACUUGAUGAGUGAAAGACUGUAGAGUGCAGUGGAAGACGAUGGCUGGAGAUUUAACACCUUCAAAGAUGAGUGAGAGAAAGACAAUUAACAAAAUGUAAAUAAACAUAUUCAGGAGAAACUUUUCUUGAGACUCAUUUAAGCACAACUGGGAACCAGAUUAUUAAUAUGGAAAAAUAGUACAAAACAGAGUAAUUAGUUAUAUUAACUGAAACGAACUAACUGCUAAUGAGAUGGAAACCAAACUUGAGGUAUCCAGCUUUAUAAUUCCAAGUUAAGAUGCUGUGCUGUGCUGACAUUUAAAGCAUUAUUAUCUACACUGUCAUCUUGACAUAUGUAGUAAUUUGUUUCUGUCUUGAGAGGUCACUCUUCUGGCUCACAAUAAAGUAUAUUUUUCUUCUAAAAACUUGAAUGUGUAACCUUUCCCAAAAAUUGUAGACCAGUAAACUACCUUCUUAAAACAUAAAUGUUUUACUCUAAAACUCAGGCAGAGUCCAUGGUUGGAGCAGACUGACUGUCUUGGUAGUAGGACCUCCUACUUUUGGCUGUGUACAAGUAAUACAGGAUACAUCCGAAACUGGAGACAGAAGAUCUUCACUGCAGUAACCACGAGAAAACAGCAGCCUGAAGUCUGAGUUACAGAAAGGCUCAGACUAUCGUUUGAAGCACAGAAUACAGCAGGCGAUAUUCCACGGUGAUUCUUCAUUGCCGUUAUUCUUUUCUUGCUUCCAGUCGUUUAGAUAACAUAUUUACUAGUGUUGGCUAGUCAUAUUGUUUGAACUGUAACACAGCAGAAUUAACAGCACACCUUCCCUUUGCUGGUGAGCUAAAGCUUUAUGGAUACUUGCCUUUGACAGGUGCAGUGACGUAUAAUUUGAUAUCCUUCUAUGGUAUUCACAACAUGAGGGGAUUCCCUGCCAAGGGGCGACUCUAUGUCCAGCCAAAGCCUUUUACUACUUAAGCGUGUGUGAGACGUUGCACAUAUGUUCUUCACGUACGUUGGCCAUAAAAACGACAUCCGCACAUACUAUCCUCAUAACUUCUCUGCCUCCAGUCCGAACACCAUCCUCAACUGUCGGUCUCCUCACCCAAGUCGUUUGUUACUGUAUCAAGCCAUUUUAGAUAAGUACCCCAUUGUUUUUUUUCCUUUAUCUUCUUUUUUCCUACUAUGUUUGUGAGGUUUUUUCAUGUCAUCCAAGAAAGGCAAAUGCUGUUGUGGGAGACAAAUUCCAUAUAAGAAUAGUCACUAACAGUGCUUGCUCUGUUUAGGGCCUACUCAUGAUUACCUUCCCAAAGAAAGGAGCACAUCAGCAUCAAAGAUAUGAGAGAACUUCUGCUGACCCUUCAGGCUUUUCAUCCUCUUUUCUUUCAAGGUCCUCUCAAACUGUUUAGUGACAACACCACAGUUCUCUGGUAUGUAAACAAAUAGGGGAUGAAAUCUUACCUACUUUGCAGGCUAGCUCUCAUGGCAUGGGAACUUGCAGUUCAGUAUCAGAUGAUUCUUCAGGCAGUGUACAUCUCCAACAGUCAAAAUCAAGUGGCAGACAAUCUGUGCAGGUCCAUGACUCAGUCCCAGGUGCUCCUCAAGAAGAUCUGUUUGCCUCCCAUCUGAACAGACAACUUCCACUGUUUUGUGCCAGAGUUCCAGGUCCUGUCGUUUGGAAGGUGGACAGCCCAUCUUUUUUUUUGGAUGGGGAUGUUUCUUUACUCCUAUCUUCCUUCCUCUCAUUCCAAAGGUCCUGUUCAAGUUUCAACAGGACCAACCAAAAAUCUUGCUGGUGACUCCCUUUUGGCCAAGACAGCAUUGGUUCCCUCUUCUUCUGGAUUUAGCCAAGGGCAAUCAUCACAAGUUACUGCACAGGAUGGACCUUCCCACAAAGACAAAGGAUUUCUUAUCCAUCCCCACCUGUCGACUUUGCAACUGACUCUGUGGGUGAUAGGAUUUUGAUUUGUUUCAGAUGCCUUUUAUCUGAGGACAAGGCUUAGGGUUCUGCAGUAGACCAGAAAACCCAGUACUAGGAAAACCUACCUCUAAAUGGAAGAGUUUUUCUGCCUGGUGUCUCACAUAACUUGAAUCCAUUGAUUGUGGAUGUUCCAUUGGUUCUCUGUUGUUUGUGAGAGUUGCUCAAUGCUGGGUUGGCCUAUUAUAGGUUCAUAGGUUCGUACUAGGCUAUCGGCCCUAGGGCCUAUGCAAGCCUAGCCAUAACAAUUACCUGGCUAUUUCUUCCCACAAUAUUUACUUCCCUGGAACCCUGUCUAGCAGGGUGACUGACGUGAUCCCCGGGGUAAAUUUCCUAUCUCCCAAGGCCCACUUGUCAGCUAUUUCUGCUUGUCUGUCUUUAUCUCCUCCUCAAAGGCAUCCUACAUAUUAGACCUCCAAGGAAGCCUGUUCCUCCUCUUUGAGAUCAUAAUCUUGUUUUGGAAAAAAUGACUUUGGCUCCUUUUGACCUUGUGGCUACAGCUUCUUUGCAGCAUUGGUGUUGGAAGACUGUUUUGUUGUUAGCUUUGACUUCAGUUAGAUGGGUGUCUGAGCUGCAAGCUCUUAUGGCUUCUCCCCCUUUUUUGGUUUUCCAUAAGGACAGGGUGUACUUGCGUACUAACCCUUCUUUUAUGUCCAAGGUUGUGAAUGAGUCAUCACUUAAUCAAACCAUUAAUUUGCCCACCUUCUUCCCUUCUCCACAGUCAUCUAGUGAGAAGGUAUUGCAUACCUUGGAUUUGCAUAAACAAGUCAGAUUUUAUUUGGCUAAAAUGGAGGCUAUCAGGAAAUUUGAUCAGCUUUUUAUUUCUUUUCAUCCCAGGUCCUUGGGAUUGCCUGUUUCUAAGCAGACUAUUUCCCUUUGGAUUUUUAAGGCUAUUUCCUUUUGUUAUGUUUCUCAUGGUAAGAGCCUCCCCUUUUCUGUUAAAGCAAAUUCAACUAGGGCUGUGACUUCUUGUGCUUUUUCCAAGGGUUAAGACACUAACUCCAUUCUUGAAGCAGCUACCUGGAAUUCUGUGCAUACUUUCACCAAAUACUGAUUUUACUAGGUCCAUUCUCCAUGACUUUUUUAGACAGCUCUACUGCCCAUUCCACCUUUCCUUAUGAGCUAUGGCACUCUCCAUCAUAUUAUGAGUACUGUAACAUUAGAAUAAAAGGACAUAGUAUAGUUGUGUAAAAUCUUACCAAUUGAUAGAGGUCCUCCUAACCCCCUGAUUUUUACUUUUUUUUUUGGAUGUAUGAUUGAUUUCUAUUUCCUUGUAUUGGCGUUCCUUCUGAGUCAUUCAGUUUUGAGGAUAGUAUAUGCAGACAUCGCUUUUAUGGCCGAUGUAUGCAGACAGCAUACGUGCAACUUCUCAUGUACUCCUAAGUAGUAAAAGGCUUUAGUGUACGGGCCAGACGUCUGGUUGCCCUUGACAGGGAAUCCCUCAUGUUAUGAAUUCUACAACAGUGAAGAGAAGGAGAUCUAUCGUUGUGGUAAGAAAAUGUUGACAAAUGAAAAUAUUGACAAAAGUGAAGUUAUUAAAAUAACCCUGGAGUGUGAAAUUCUUUAUGAACACUUGCGGACAGAUGGAAGCUACAGUGAGUGACCACCAGCCAUCACUUUUUACUGUGAUGUUUCGAAAUUGUAUAUUUGUUUCUUUUAUCCAUCUUCUGUGCUGUUUACUCUUGUUUUUCAAGAAAUUAUAAAGCAUUCAGCGUAUGUAGAGAAAGCCUUAACAGUUUAAGCAGAUGAUGUAAGAACUUCAUGUCCACAUUUUUUUUGACAUCAGCAUUUUAAACUGUACUUUACUGAAUAAGUUUUAACUGUCGUGAUAAUAAAUGGACUCAGCAGCUGUUGUAAACUAGCAAGCUACUAAAUAGUUACACAUGACUAUAGAAUGAUGAGGAAUGCCUUAAUUAAACUACACCCUGUAACGGGUUUAUUCUGGUUAAUGGUUAACUUGCAAAUUAUUUUAAUAAAGUUUGGUCGGGUCCUUCACUA